rnacentral:rRNA from 1 species
AUGUUAACCUCGCUGAGGACAUUGAUUGUAGAAGAUUCAGUUGGUCUAGUUGGACCAUUAGGAGGAGGUCAGAGUGAUGUGGAGUGGCAGCUCCCUGUUGAGCAUAUGCAUGUCAAUAGGUUAAAUGGUAAUAGUGGGAAGGAAUUGACAGAGCUCCUCCCCGACCUCCCAAAGCUCUCCAAAUUGGAAAUACGGAGUUGUAAAAACAUAAAAGGGCUGGUAGUGGGGGUGGAUGUGCAACAAACAACACAAGAAGCAUCAGAGAUGGGGGGAGGUGAAAUAAAAGCAACAACAGAGGAAGAGGAUGAUGGGGUGCUGCUCCUCCCAGCUCAUCUCUGUGACUCACUACGGGAAUUGGAUUUCCUUGACUGCCCAGAGCUGGUCCUGGUGGACCCACCAACUCUUGUUCCUGGUGGAGGAGGGCUCCAAGCCUUGCGAUCCCUCCAGAGAUUAGAAAUAAAAAGUAUUGCACAAACUUUCUAUCCCGUCUUGGCUCUUUUUCCCGUCACAUUUUCCCUUACUCCCUGUAGUUCCUGA